CGAGCUGCCCCAUGGAUUUGAAUCAUGGGUUCAUUGGUCACUUGUACAAACAGAACCUAAGCAUGCCAUAGAUUUUCUCAAGCUGAGCAUUGUUUAAUGCCUCUUUUAUGUUGCACGGAUUGUUAUCCCAUUUUAUACAAGAAUUUGACUUGGAAUGAGUGGAACAAUUUGAUCAUGAUCCAUGAGUAUGGACGAAUUUAUGCAAGAGAGAAUAAAUCAUUGGCACUCAUAGAUCCAAUUGGUAGAAUUUGAAUGUUUCUUUGAUUUGCAGGUUUACUUGUGAUGGGAUUCUGGUGGAAGGUAUGUUCUGGAAGGAUGUUAGCAAACUGAUUGAUGAUUAUAGUGGAGAUUCUCAAAAGAAUAAAUGAACUCAAACAGGACGAAUAGAUAUGACACGACAGCUUUGUACGCUGAGUAAUCAACCUCAGUCUGAGCUCUCCAGUUAGGAAGCAAUGUAGCAGUUUUUCCUCUAUGCUUGAAUGAAGGAUUGUAAUUGAUUCAUUAUUGAAUGAAUGAUUGUAAUUAAAUAAAUGAAUGAUUGUAAUUGAAUGAAUGAAUGAAUGAUUAUGCAGGUGGUAAUUGAAUGAAUGAA